rnacentral:rRNA from 1 species
CAUUGCAGAGUCUAAGGCAUGGAUGCUGUAAGUACACACCAUCCUAUAGGGUGAGACCGCGAAUGGCUCAUUAAAUCAGUUAUGGUUCAUUAGAUGAGUCCAAUCCUACUUGGAUAACUGUGGUAAUUCUAGAGCUAAUACAUGCUUGCAAGCUCCGACCUCACGGAACGAGCGCCUUUAUUAGACCAAGACCAAUCGGGCUUCGGCUCGUUUCCUUUGGUGACUCUGAAUAACCUUUCGAAGAUUGCACGGUCUCGAACCGGCAACGCAUCUUUCAAAUGUCUGCCUUAUCAACUGUCGAUGGUAGGUUAUGCGCCUACCAUGGUUGUAACGGGUGACGGGGAGUUAGGGCUUGACUCCGGAGAGGGAGCCUGAGAAACGGCUGCCACAUCCAAGGAAGGCAGCAGGCACGCAAAUUACCCACUCCCGGCACGGGGAGGUAGUGACGAAAAAUAACGAUGCGGGACUCUUCCGAGGCCCCGUAAUCGGAAUGAGUACACUUUAAAACCUUUAACGAGGAUCUAUUAGAGGGAAAGUCUGGUGCCAGCAGCCGCGGUAAUUCCAGCUCUAAUAGCGUAUACUAAAGUUGUUGCGGCUAAAAAGCUCGUAGUUGGAUUUCAGUCGUAGGCCGGUGGUCCACCACCCGGUGGCUACUGCCUGGCCUAGGCACCUUGCCGGCUCUCCUGCGAUGCUCUUCAUCGGGUGUCGUGGGUGGCCGGAACGUUUACUUUGAAAAAAUUAGAGUGCUCCAAGCAGGCGCUACAGCCCGGAUAACACAGCAUGGAAUAAUGGAACAGGACCUUGGUUCUGUUUUGUUGGUCUUCGGAAGCUAAGGUAAUGAUUAAUAGGGACGGACGGGGGCAUUCGUAUUGCGACGCUAGAGGUGAAAUUCUUGGACCGUCGCAAGACGAACUACUGCGAGAU